rnacentral:misc_RNA from 1 species
CAAAAAGAAAAAAUGUAAUAUAAUUAUACCCUCAGGGAAAUGAAGCUAGAAACAAUUACAAAACUGGAGAUGAAGCACCUUAAACUUAACCGACCCCAGCAAAUCAAUGCAAGAUGCAAAAUUAGUGCAUCUCUUUGGUCCUUCAUAAUAAAAAUUUCCCCCUUUCUGCCUAACUACAAAAAAAAAAUGCCUCUUCUAAAAGAAUAUUACAAAGGAGAGAUAUAUCAACACCCUAUAACACACAACAGAACAAUUAUUUUAUCAAAGCCUCCACGAGUGGUCAACAACUGCAACGCAAGUGACAAAAAUACAAGGGUAAUAACCCUAAACAAAAUGCAAAAGAACCCCAGAUCAUCUUUUUGCCUGCCCAGUUCUGUUUAAACCAGUAUAUUGAACACCAUCAUAUUAGUAGGGACCCAUUGGUGGCAUGCCAAAUGG